CCUACGGGAGGCAGCAGUGGGGAAUUUUUCGCAAUGGGGGAAACCCUGACGAAGCAACGCCGCGUGGAGGAUGAAGGCCUUCGGGUCGUAAACUCCUGUCGACCGGGACGAACGUAGCUGGGUCCAAUACACCCGGCUAUCGACUGUACCGGUGGAGGAAGCCACGGCUAACUCUGUGCCAGCAGCCGCGGUAAUACAGAGGUGGCAAGCGUUGUUCGGAAUUACUGGGCGUAAAGGGCGCGUAGGCGGUUCGUUAAGUCCUGUGUGAAAUCCCCCGGCUCAACUGGGGAACUGCACAGGAAACUAGCGGGCUUGAGUUCGGGAGAGGGAAGCGGAAUUCCGGGUGUAGCGGUGAAAUGCGUAGAUAUCCGGAGGAACACCGGUGGCGAAGGCGGCUUCCUGGACCGACACUGACGCUGAGGCGCGAAAGCUAGGGGAGC
rnacentral:rRNA from 1 species